UUGAAACGACCAGUUCCCGUACGAUCAUCGAAGUUAAGCAACUUCGAGCCUGAUCAGUACCUAGAUGGAUGACCGCUUGGGAAUACCAGGUACAGUA